UACGUAGGUGGCAAGCGUUGUCCGGAAUUAUUGGGCGUAAAGCGCGCGCAGGCGGCUAAUAAAGUCUGAUGUGAAAUCUCGUGGCUUAACCACGAGCGGCCAUUGGAAACUGGUUAGCUUGAGUGCAGAAGAGGAGAGUGGAAUUCCAUGUGUAGCGGUGAAAUGCGUAGAUAUAUGGAGGAACACCAGUGGCGAAGGCGACUCUCUGGUCUGUAACUGACGCUGAGGCGCGAAAGCGUGGGUAGCAAACAGG
rnacentral:rRNA from 1 species